rnacentral:rRNA from 1 species
GCCAAACAGCUAGCUUAACUACAGAAUAAAUAAUCAACAUAAAUAACCUUAAAUAACCUAAACCAACAAAUCAAACCAUUUUUCCACCUUAGUACGGGAGACGGAAAGGGCCACUACAAGCAAUAGAAAAAGUACCGCAAGGGAAAGCUGAAAGAGCAGUGAAACAACCCAUACAAGCAUAAAAAAGCAAAGACUAAACCUUGUACCUUUUGCAUCAUGAUUUAGCCAGUACCAUCAAGCAAAGAGACCUUUAGUUUGAAACCCCGAAACCAAGUGAGCUACCCCGGGACAGCCUGCAAGGGCCAACCCGUCUCUGUGGCAAAAGAGUGGGAAGAACCCCGGGUAGAGGCGAUAAACCUACCGAACUUGGUGAUAGCUGGUUACCUAGGAAAUGAAUAGAAGUUCAGCCUCGUGCCCCUUUAUCCAAACAAGAAAAAUCUAGUUAAGCACACAAGAAAAACACGAGAGUUAAUUAAAGGGGGUACAGCCCCUUUAAUCAAGGAUACAACCUUAAACAGGAGGAUAAAGAUCAUACUUUUCAAAAACCCUCGUCUCAGUGGGCCUAAAAGCAGCCAUCUGACCAGAAAGCGUUAAAGCUCAGACGACACUAAAUUUAUUAUCCUGAUAAAUAAUCUUAAUCCCCUAACUUUACUAGGCCAUUCCAUGCCGACAUGGAAGAGACUAUGCUAGAAUGAGUAACAAGAGGCCAAACCUCUCCAAGCAUAAGUGUAAAUCAGAUCGGACAGACCACUGAAAAUUAACGAACACCAAAAAAGAGUGUAAUGUGAGCUACAAUAUAACCAAGAAAAUAUCACACAAAAAAUCGUUAACCUCACACUAGAAUGCCGCCAAGGAAAGACUAAAAGAUAAGGAAGGAACUCGGCAAACACAAACCUCGCCUGUUUACCAAAAACAUCGCCUCCUGCAAACCUCUAUGUAUAGGAGGUCCAGCCUGCCCAGUGACUACAAGUUCAACGGCCGCGGUAUUUUGACCGUGCAAAGGUAGCGCAAUCACUUGUCUUUUAAAUGAAGACCUGUAUGAAUGGCCAAACGAGGGCUUAGCUGUCUCCCCUAUCAAGUCAGUGAAAUUGAUUUAUCCGUGCAGAAGCGGAUAUGAGCAUACAAGACGAGAAGACCCUUUGGAGCUUAAGGUACAAACCCACCUACGUCAAACAACCUUAAUAACAGGCACAAACCUAGUAGAUAUGAAAUUUUACCUUCGGUUGGGGCGACCACGGAGAAUAAAUAAUCCUCCAAGUGGAUUGGGAACUCUCCUAAAACUAAGAAAGACAAUUCCAAGUCACAGAAAAUCUGACCAAAUAUGAUCCGACCUAGUCGAUCAACGAACCAAGUUACCCUAGGGAUAACAGCGCAAUCCCCUCCAAGAGUCCAUAUCGACGAGAGGGUUUACGACCUCGAUGUUGGAUCAGGACAUCCUAAUGGUGCAGCCGCUAUUAAGGGUUCGUUUGUUCAACGAUUAAAGUCCUACGUGAUCUGAGUUCAGACCGGAGUAAUCCAGGUCAGUUUCUAUCUGUAACAUCAUUUUUCCUAGUACGAAAGGACCGGAAAAAAGAGGCCUAUGCUAAAAGCACGCCUCACCCCUAACUAAUGAAAACAACUAAAUUAGAUAAAGGGAGGAUUCAAAAAAUACCUAAAUAAGGUCAU